AUUGAACGCUGGCGGCAUGCCUUACACAUGCAAGUCGAACGGUAACGGGCCUUCGGGUGCCGACGAGUGGCGAACGGGUGAGUAAUGUAUCGGAACGUACCUUUCAGUGGGGGAUAACGUAGCGAAAGUUACGCUAAUACCGCAUAUUCUGUGAGCAGGAAAGCAGGGGAUCGCAAGACCUUGCGCUGAUUGAGCGGCCGAUAUCAGAUUAGCUAGUUGGUGAGGUAAAGGCUCACCAAGGCGACGAUCUGUAGCGGGUCUGAGAGGAUGAUCCGCCACACUGGAACUGAGACACGGUCCAGACUCCUACGGGAGGCAGUAGUGGGGAAUUUUGGACAAUGGGGGCAACCCUGAUCCAGCCAUGCCGCGUGAGUGAAGAAGGCCUUCGGGCUGUAAAGCUCUUUCGGCCGGGAAGAAAUCGUAUCAGCUAAUACCUGGUGCGGAUGACGGUACCGGCAUAAGAAGCACCGGCUAACUACGUGCCAGCCGCCGCGGUAAAAC
rnacentral:rRNA from 1 species